UACAGAGGUCUCAAGCGUUGUUCGGAUUCAUUGGGCGUAAAGGGCGCGUAGGCGGCCAACUAAGUCCGACGUGAAAUCCCCAGGCUUAACCUGGGAACUGCGUCGGAUACUGGAUGGCUUGAAUUCGGGAGAGGGAUGCAGAAUUCCAGGUGUAGCGGUGAAAUGCGUAGAUAUCUGGAGGAACACCGGUGGCGAAGGCGGGUCUCUGGGCCGAUACUGACGCUGAGGAGCGAAAGCGUGGGGAGCGAACAGG
rnacentral:rRNA from 1 species